GCCCGGCUAGCUCAAUCGGUAGAGCGUGAGACUCUUAAACCACUCUCCAAAGGUGACAUCUCAAGGCUGCGGGUUCGACCCCCGCGUUGGGCU